rnacentral:rRNA from 1 species
AUGGAACUGCCGGGGGGGAACCGCCGGACAGUUCGUGAGGUCGUGGCCCUCUCAAAAGCCAAUAACCCCAAGCUUGUUUUCCUCUGUGAAACCAGGCAAGCAUCAAAUAAAGUGGAGAAUCUAAGAUGGAGACUUGGUCUAAAGGGAUUCCAUGGUGUGUGUAGCGAUGGUCGGAGUGGAGGUUUAGCGCUCUUUUGGGACGAAUCUCUCUCAGUCACCAUUCUGGAUUCUUGUCAGAGAUACAUUGAUGUUUCAGUGACAAAUGAAGGUGCAGGUAUAGAGUGGAGGAGUACGUUUGUUUAUGGGGAACCACGAGUUGAGAAUAGACAGAACAUGUGGGAUCAUCUCACCAGGCUACGGGCUACAUCCCCAGCACCUUGA